UACGUAGGGUGCGAGCGUUGUCCGGAAUUACUGGGCGUAAAGAGCUCGUAGGUGGUUUGUCGCGUUGUUCGUGAAAACUCACAGCUUAACUGUGGGCGUGCGGGCGAUACGGGCAGACUGGAGUACUGCAGGGGAGACUGGAAUUCCUGGUGUAGCGGUGGAAUGCGCAGAUAUCAGGAGGAACACCGGUGGCGAAGGCGGUCUCUGGGCAGUAACUGACGCUGAGGAGCGAAAGCGUGGGGAGCGAACAGG
rnacentral:rRNA from 1 species